CAGAGCCAGGCUGUGACAGAGGAUGGAGGGCUUGAGUGACUGAGGGAACAGGUCAGGUGGGGCAGCCCUGAGGACUAUCCCCCUGAGGAGAGGGGUUCUGAGCAGCAACCUCGCUGUCCAGGGCCCAGCAAUGAGGGAGGCGUGGCCUGAAGCUUGGAUUCUGGCUGCAGAGGGCUUGUCGGGCUUGCUUGCUGAGGCCCAGGGCCUCUCUGGGAAUGAAGGAAUGCCUCCUGCUCUGGAACACCGAGGCCUGACAAUUUUCCCUCUCAGCAACAUUUACUUCUCUGUAAAACAGACUGUUAUAAGCUCCUCAGGAAGUUUGUUGGAUUUGGUGCCUGAGUUCACAAUCUCCUGGGGUGGACAGAAGGGUUUGGUAGAAGAAUUAGGUGUGAAGAUGGACGGGAGAGCAACGUGGAAGCUGGCUGGGAAGAGCCUGAGAGUUCAUUAUGCAGGUCUGGAAAACAACAACAACAACAACAACAACAACAACAACAGCAGCAGCCACCACCACCAGCACCAGCACCAGCAGCAGCAGCAGCAGGAGAAAAGCAGGGGUUAGUUUGGGGGGUUGAAAUGGGAAAAAGUAGACAUUUCCAGCUCCCAACAUCUUAUUUCCCGAGUAUCUUCGGAGCCCUAGAAAAUGGCUCGGAGCUGCCUUUGCAGUUUUGAAGCUGCACUUGGGUUCCCAUCAGCCCCUGGGCCUCUGAUUGCAGCCUGGGGAGCACCUCUG
rnacentral:lncRNA from 1 species